rnacentral:lncRNA from 1 species
CUACUUGAUUGCUUCAUGCUGAUUUUUGGGUAUGUCUGAAAGUCAGCAUGACCAGGGCAAAAAGGGCAACUUUCCCUGCAACGAAAGCUAAGAAUUUAUUAUAAAUUAUUUUCAUUUAUUAGGAAACAAGAAGUAAUAUUUUCUAUAAAGAUAAAAUGAGAAAGCUGCCAAGAUUUUUAACUAUCCCUUCUCCAGAUCAGAAUACUCAUCAGCUCAAAAACCAAGAGGAAAUCUUGAGGAUCCUUAACUAUGGUCUUCUACUUCUCCAUCGAAUUUCCCAUAUCUUAGCAUUAUGUUAUAGGAGCAACAGAAUAAUCUCCAUGUGUGCAAGAAUGCUACUCAAGGAAGCAAAAUGUCUUCAUACCACUAAACAACAUCUACUUGCAAGUGAAGAGGGAACAAAAGCUCAUAAAACUGCAAUAAAAUAUUUAUUUGUCUUCAGCAAUAGGAUUAAUUUUAUCACUGUAGAUUUAUGACCCCAGAAAUUCGUUGCUGGAUAUUUAAUAUAUCAAAAUAGCAGAACAAGGAGCUUGUAUUAAGAAAUGUGCUGUGAAAC